CGCUGGCGGCAGGCCUAACACAUGCAAGUCGAGCGGUAGAGAGAAGCUUGCUUCUCUUGAGAGCGGCGGACGGGUGAGUAAUGCCUAGGAAUCUGCCUGGUAGUGGGGGAUAACGUUCGGAAACGGACGCUAAUACCGCAUACGUCCUACGGGAGAAAGCAGGGGACCUUCGGGCCUUGCGCUAUCAGAUGAGCCUAGGUCGGAUUAGCUAGUUGGUGGGGUAAUGGCUCACCAAGGCGACGAUCCGUAACUGGUCUGAGAGGAUGAUCAGUCACACUGGAACUGAGACACGGUCCAGACUCCUACGGGAGGCAGCAGUGGGGAAUAUUGGACAAUGGGCGAAAGCCUGAUCCAGCCAUGCCGCGUGUGUGAAGAAGGUCUUCGGAUUGUAAAGCACUUUAAGUUGGGAGGAAGGGUUGUAGAUUAAUACUCUGCAAUUUUGACGUUACCGACAGAAUAAGCACCGGCUAACUCUGUGCCAGCAGCCGCGGUAAUACAGAGGGUGCAAGCGUUAAUCGGAAUUACUGGGCGUAAAGCGCGCGUAGGUGGUUAGUUAAGUUGGAUGUGAAAUCCCCGGGCUCAACCUGGGAACUGCAUUCAAAACUGACUGACUAGAGUAUGGUAGAGGGUGGUGGAAUUUCCUGUGUAGCGGUGAAAUGCGUAGAUAUAGGAAGGAACACCAGUGGCGAAGGCGACCACCUGGACUGAUACUGACACUGAGGUGCGAAAGCGUGGGGAGCAAAC
rnacentral:rRNA from 1 species